rnacentral:rRNA from 1 species
AAWUUAAMGCCAAAUYAUUCGUCGGGUUGGCGAGCGGCGGACGGGUGAGGAAUGCAUCGGGAUCUACCCUGUCGUGGGGGACAACGUAGGGAAACUUACGCUAAUACCGCAUGAUCUGGAGACAGCAAAGCCGGGGACCUUCGGGCCUGGCGCGAUGGGAUGAGCCGAUGUCCGAUUAGCUAGUUGGCGGGGUAAAGGCCCACCAAGGCGACGAUCGGUAGCUGGUCUGAGAGGACGACCAGCCACACUGGAACUGAGACACGGUCCAGACUCCUACGGGAGGCAGCAGUGGGGAAUAUUGGACARUGGGGGCAACCCUGAUCCAGCCAUGCCGCGUGGGUGAGGAAGGCCUUCGGGUUGUAAAGCCCUUUUGUGCGGGAAGAAAAGUCGUCGGUGAACAUCCGGCGAUGCUGACGGUACCGCAAGAAUAAGCACCGGCUAACUUCGUGCCAGCAGCCGCGGUAAUACGAAGGGUGCAAGCGUUACUCGGAAUUACUGGGCGUAAAGCGUGCGUAGGUGGUGAGUUAAGUCUGAUGUGAAAUCCCCGGGCUCAACCUGGGAAUGGCAUUGGAUACUGGCUCGYUGGAGUGCGGUAGAGGGUGGUGGAAUUCYCCGGUGUAGCAGUGAAAUGCGUAGAGAUCGKGGAGGCACAUCUGUGGUGAAGGCGGCCACCUGGACCAKCACUGACACUGAGGCACGAAAGCGUGUGGAGCAAACARGAUWAGAUAMCCCUGGUAGUCCACGCUCUAAAACGAUGCGAACUGGGAUGUUGGUGGGAAACUUUGYCCAWUCAKUAAUCGAAGCUUAACGCSGGUUAAGUUUCGCCCGCCCU